GUACGAAAGAGGAGCAUCGAGGAGCGCGCGCACAGGCGUGACCUUGACGAACGACAGUCGUACAGCCAAGCCGAAAGUCAAACAAAUCCAGGAAUGGUAACUGUCAAAACUGCCGCUGGAAGCGUUGCCAGUGCCGUCACUUUGGCUCGUGAAUCUUUACGAGAAAUUUUUACAUUGACAGAUACGCCACGACACGUAUCAGGGACACUCGAGUGACUUGACACAUAAUGAUACAUUAACUAACCGCACUGGACUCUUACUCUUGCGAAUUACAGUGAAUUAUGCACGUAAGGUAGUCGAAACUUCGAGCAAGGAACGCACCGAGUGGAAAGCAAGCGCCCGAAGACAGGAAUCCGGCAUGGCGGCGCGCGCUGCACUAACCGUUGAGUCUGGUGUUACUUGAGUGGGGGAAAAACCGUAAGUCGUACUGGUAAACUCGGCAGGAAGGGGACAAUGGUUAGAGAUUAGAAACCUUAAAAUUGGGGUUAGACUGUAUUUUACAUGGAUGGUAUAAAACGUCAACUGAGCAGUGUUGUGUCUGCUUCAAAUUUCGCCGGUUUAUUAUGGCGAUCGAGGCGCGCUCUGUCGUCGACGCGACGAACUAAGAUAAAAGUAAAGAAAUAAUACAAGUCUUUAAACAGCUUUAAUAUAAACACAGAGAAUUAUUCUAAAUCGCAAUUGCGAGUCGCGAGAACGUAAAUUUCGUGAUGUUUUAUUUUGUCAGUUACCUGGUAAGUCCGAAGAAGAAUUACGUCUUAUUAAUUAUUAUACUUUCAACAACGCCAAUUUCCAUUGUCCUCCCUCGUACUUUCCAACCACCCGUCUCUCGCAGCGCGUUAUGCGUUUUCAAGAAGAAACAGCCCAAUUUCUCGCACACCCUCGACGCGUCCAGACCUGCGUCAGUCAGUAAGCAGCAUGGCUCAGCCAAGUAAUGGCGGACUCUCCGAACUCGAUUUCAUAACCCGUCGGUCCGGUAGCAAAAUGUAUUCCAGCCACGCGUCGUGUUAUUGUGCUGCGCUACGGUAUACACCCACUCGAGGCAGACAGAGAGUACAUAGUACGGUCUCCGCGAAUCGUGUACAUACAUUAGCAUACGCCAAGGAGUGUACAGGAAAUACCGGCAUUCGAAGCGCGCGAUACUUCUCGUGCGCUGUGCACUCUGGACAGAAAUACAUUGUCUCGUACUGGAAUAACAGACCGAUAAGACGCCGAGUGACAGAACUUUGUGGAUUCGUUAAGACUCGCAGCUCCCUACCCAGCGACACGUGCUUCCCAUCAAGAGGACGCGCUUUUGACUCCCGACUCAGACUCGGGUACACGGCAGUGAAAACCUUCAGCCUCCUCCAGUACAUUAAUCAAAACCCCAACCCUAACCAAUGCUUAAAUAUAUCCACACCUAAUCCGUCACGUAGCCACGGAUAUUUUAAAACCCCUUUUUCAAGACUUUCCAAAACCAGACCUUCUCUUAACGUAAAAUCUUAUUAACACGAGGGUCGCCGCUACGGUUGAACCCAGUUAACUUUUCUUACCUGCACCCGACCCUUAUUCGACAACCGAUCUGAUUUUAUAUUAAUCAAAUUUACCGCGGGUCUACGUUCGUUGUACUCUAAUUCUAAUGUACGUAAUGUCAAAGUUUAACAACCUCUUUCACGAGGUCAGUGACCUCACUGUCAAUUCCCAUUAUUUUACACGUUGCCAAAAAUUCAGCUGACAGACAAUUUAAUUUUUUAUUGCCGAUUCUCAUAUCGCACGCAAUUCUUUCGACACUACUGAAAAUCCUACUGAAUUUAUCCUCCAUAAAUUUUGGCACUGUGUAUACAUAUACGGUGAAUAAUUUUUUGCAAUAUGCCCGAAAUCACGCACGACGUCACUGUGACAGCAUCUAUAUCCGUGUCUGUCUAACGAUACCAUUAAUGUCUGAAAAGCGACGACCACGUGUACCACACAGGUCCAUCCAGCAUCCGUACUAACGACCGAAGUAUCUACACUGCCACGAUCGCUCUCGGCAGAGAGAAUUAUAAUCGCAUUAGCAAUUUUCAAAGCCGAAGCCACCGUCGUAGAAAAUCUUGUGUGGUCCAGCGUGGGCGCUAUCUCAGUUUUCUCAUGGAUCUCCGCGACGGCACCAUUAACGUAACUUAAGGAGCCGAACCACCCUCCAAUUUCUUCACGAACAUUAAACAACGUCCCGUGCUCCAUAUCCGACCUGCAUAGCUAAGAGAAGAAAGCAAUACGUCAGCACGACGAGUCCCUUGCGUCACCUGAACGAUGCAUAAAGGAAGCAAGCUCAGCAACGAUCCCCGCAGGUGUCACGGCAUAACGUGUACGUCGCUUCUUAUUGGACAUAUAUAAACACGGCUGACUAUGGGCCGGGUCCUUUCCAUUCCGUCGAUUAUAUCGAGAUCAACCAUUGGACGACAUUCGCGUAUCUCACGUGGUAGACCGUAUCGUAAAACACUGCGCCGACAUAUAUCAACGUACCCGCCGUGGCAGUGAAGUCAACUAGCGCUAUCGCCUCUGUACUAUCUGGAUAAAUAGAUGUUAAUUAUGCGCGUACUGUACCAGGCUAGACAAUGGAAACGACGUACCUUGACCCAUAGGUAACGUUGGAGACCGAUGCGAUUGUACGGGACGAUCUAUGGCUGCUUUCAAAGAUAUUUAUGGAAAUCCUGACGAACGAGGGUAUCGUUUAUCGCAGAGGUGGGUCGUAAUGAAAUUUUUGCGAUAAUAAAACAACAAUUUUUUUUUUAUACGAUACUCAAAAUUCUCUUCUCAUUUUUCAAACGUUAAAUCCCGAACGUGUUUUUUAAUUGGACGUUUUACGAGCGAGGUACGAGUGACUUCGUUGUUUUUCUUAUCGACAAGAAGCCACUGUAAAAAGUUGUACCUGUUAAUAACGCGGUUGCUAAGUUACCACAGUAUAUAUAUAUAUAUACGAACAUAAUCGAGACAAUAUGCGUAAAUGUUUAGUAAUUAGCCGUCUUGUUCUCGAUGACUCUAUCGGACUACAGAAGCUUCAAAAAGUACGUAUAAAUUUCAAAAGGCAAUUUAACGUAUUUAAACCUUAAAAUAAGAAUGAUAAAUUUUUUUUUCAUUAGGAAUACAAAGAAUAUUUCGAAUGACGUAACCACGCUGUCACGGGUAUCCAAGUUACCGCGAGUAUUGAAAGCUUGACAAAUUUAAAGCUGAGAAUCACUCGAGGCACGUAAGAAGGAAAGAAAUGUCCGCUUGACGAAUCAUUGACCCAAUGACACAAUUACCAUAUCCGCGUACGAUGCUGUUUACAAGCAAGAAAGCCCAACGGGGAUUUCACAAUGGCAAAGGGAAGCAAAGGGCCCGUGCGAGCGAGCAGGCAUUUCGUAAUGGACACCUACCGCGUCCCACCCACGCGUCCCACGAAUCGGGUCUCAUGAAGUUGCGCAAUUCUGCUCUGCAAUCAACAAACACAUUUUCCCCGUAAUUCAUUUUUCGUUUUAACCAGUUUAAAAUUCUACACCGAUAUACGUCACCGAUCCGUUCGCCAGGAACGAACGACUUUCUUGCAAAUAGUCUUGGGCCACGCAUAUAUCCACCAAUAGAAAAUUGCACGCUACGUAUGCACACGCGAGAGCCGAUACAAGCUAUUAUAAUAUAAGCACACGUGGAAACACUAUCCAUCGCGAUUACUAAUGACUCCGGCAUUAGUCGAGAAUUAUCCGUUAAACGUUUGGCGUAAUGAGAAGUGUCGAUCGUACCGAUCGCCGACUGUUAUUACUGUGCCUCUUACCAGUCCAGCCGAGCAUUAGCGAUUUCCACGGGAGCCAUUACGUAUACGUAUUACAUACACACGGUUCAUACAUAUGCAUGAAACCGCCAGUGCAAUUUCAUUAUUUAUACGAAUGAAAAAAAAAAAAAUUUUUUUUUUUUUAUAUAUUAAAAAUACCAGAAUAUCAAAGUCCUCUCGGUAUUUACCGACACUGUAAAUUCGCUGUUUCGUAGAUUUUUGAAAAUUCGUUAUAUUCACCAAUAACGUCCUGGCGACUUUGACGGCCUUAGGGCGUCUAAUGUUCUUACUACUAGGGUUGACCUUUGACCUAAGAUUGUAUUAAAUACGUGCAAUCGGAUAUGUCAAAAUUUAAGGAGGACUCGCGUAUCGACAUUAUUUUCAUCGAUCAUCGCAUGUCUCGUGGGAUUAACAUAUUUCUCUAUGGGUUCAACGAUUGCGUCGUCCUGUCGGUAGCGCUUAUCUAUUCGAGGUCAAAUAUUUCGUUAAUGCAAGAAAGGUCGACUUUCGUAUACCCGAUUUUAAAUUAACGCUUGCUGGGUCGUGCCAGGCUUCUUUUGGGAAUGCUUCAUCGAUGUACUGGAAGAUCGAGUGUCUCGACGCGUGACGAGACACACGAGUCGCGCGAUGUUAAUUCAUAAUAAUACGAGACACCAGGUGGCUUUGUAACGCAUGCACGAGGAUUAUGCGAAUAAUAGGAUUGACGCGCUUUGGUUAUUCCGCCUCGAACUAUGGCCUUGUCGAAACCCACAAAAAGCCCACCUGCCGUUACGGCCCUGACGACGCUAGACGUCCCGCCAUUGUAGUAACGUCAGACGUAUUCAAAUCUCAC